rnacentral:rRNA from 1 species
AUUGAACGCUGGCGGCAGGCUUAACACAUGCAAGUCGAACGGUAACAGGGUGCUUGCACCGCUGACGAGUGGCGAACGGGUGAGUAAUGCGUCGGAACGUGCCGAGUAGUGGGGGAUAACGCAGCGAAAGUUGUGCUAAUACCGCAUACGUACUGAGGUAGAAAGUGGGGGACCUUCGGGCCUCACGCUAUUCGAGCGGCCGGCGUCUGAUUAGCUAGUAGGUGAGGUAAAGGCUCACCUAGGCGACGAUCAGUAGCGGGUCUGAGAGGAUGAUCCGCCACACUGGGACUGAGACACGGCCCAGACUCCUACGGGAGGCAGCAGUGGGGAAUUUUGGACAAUGGGCGAAAGCCUGAUCCAGCCAUGCCGCGUGUCUGAAGAAGGCCUUCGGGUUGUAAAGGACUUUUGUCGGGGAGGAAAUCCCCAGCGUUAAUACCGCUGGGGGAUGACAGUACCUGAAGAAUAAGCACCGGCUAACUACGUGCCAGCCGCCGCGGUAAAAC